UUGAAUUGAAGAGUUUGAUCAUGGCUCAGAUUGAACGCUGGCGGCAGGCUUAACACAUGCAAGUCGAACGGUAACAGGAGAGAGCUUGCUUUCUUGCUGAC
rnacentral:rRNA from 1 species